rnacentral:rRNA from 1 species
CGGUGGAGCAUGUUGCUAAAUUCGAUGCAACGCGAAGAACCGUAUCGUGGGCUUGACAGGCUUGGAUGCCCCCGUGGGAAACAGGGAUCGGCUGCCCUUCGGGGUGAAACUUGCACAGGUGCUGCAUGGCUGUCGUCAGCUCGUGUCGUGAGAUGUUGGGUUAAGUCCCGUAACGAGCGAAACCCUUGUCGUUAGUUGCCAGCGGGUCAUGCCGGGGACUCUAACGAGACUGCCGGUGUCAAACCGGAGGAAGGUGGGGAUGACGUCAAGUCCUCAUGGCCUUUAUGCCCAGGGCCGCAAACGUGCUACAAUGGCUGGUACAAACCGACGCGAGACCGCGAGGUGGAGCAAAUCGGAAAAAGCCAGCCCCAGUUCGGAUUGCAGUCUGCAACUCGACUGCAUGAAGUCGGAAUCGCUAGUAAUCGCGCAUCAGCGUGGCGCGGUGAAUAUGUUCCUGAGCCUUGUACACACCGCCCGUCAAGUCAUGGAAGCUGGGAGCACCCGACGUCGGGGCAAUUCAGUCCUGCCGAAGG